rnacentral:rRNA from 1 species
CCUACGGGGCGCAGCAGUGGGGAAUAUUGGGCAAUGGGCGCAAGCCUGACCCAGCAACGCCGCGUGAGUGAAGAAGUAUUUCGGUAUGUAAAGCUCUGUCAGCAGGGAAGAAGAAAGACGGUACCUGACCAAGAAGCCCCGGCUAACUACGUGCCAGCAGCCGCGGUAAUACGUAGGGGGCAAGCGUUAUCCGGAUUUACUGGGUGUAAAGGGAGCGUAGACGGCAGGGCAAGUCUGGAGUGAAAGGCAGGGGCCCAACCCCUGGACUGCUCUGGAAACUGUCCGGCUGGAGUGCAGGAGAGGGA